rnacentral:ncRNA from 1 species
GCUGUUCCUGGCAGCGAUGAAGCACGGUCCGUAAUGUUGGUCGCCUGGACCGCGCGGAGCGAGUGGCGAACCCGGCCAGAGUACUC